GACGAACGCUGGCGGCGUGCCUAAUACAUGCAAGUCGAGCGAAGUUUUUCUGGUGCUUGCACUAGAAAAACUUAGCGGCGAACGGGUGAGUAACACGUAAAGAACCUGCCUCAUAGACGGGGACAACUAUUGGAAACGAUAGCUAAUACCGGAUAACAGCAUAAAUCGCAUGAUAUAUGUUUAAAAGUUGGUUUCGGCUAACACUAUGAGAUGGCUUUGCGGUGCAUUAGCUAGUUGGUGGGGUAAAGGCCUACCAAGGCGACGAUGCAUAGCCGACCUGAGAGGGUGAUCGGCCACACUGGGACUGAGACACGGCCCAGACUCCUACGGGAGGCAGCAGUAGGGAAUCUUCCGCAAUGGGCGAAAGCCUGACGGAGCAACGCCGCGUGAGUGAAGAAGGAUUUCGGUUCGUAAAGCUCUGUUGUUAGGGAAGAAUGAUUGUAUAGUAACUAUAUACAGUAGAGGACGG
rnacentral:rRNA from 1 species